UGCCUACGGGCGGCAGCAGUAGGGAAUAUUGGACAAUGGGGGAAACCCUGAUCCAGCAAUGCCGUGUGGGUGAAGAAGGCCUGCGGGUUGUAAAGCCCUUUCGGCCGGGAAGAAAAGCUGUUGGCGAAUACCCAAUAGUCUUGACGUUACCGGAGUAAGAAGCACCGGCAAACUCUGUGCCAGCAGCCGCGGUAAUACAGAGGGUGCGAGCGUUAAUCGGAAUUACUGGGCGUAAAGGGUGCGUAGGCGGUUACUGGAGUCGGGUGUGAAAUACCUGGGCUUAACCUGGGAAUUGCAUUCGAUACUGGGUGACUGGAGUAUGGUAGAGGGUAGUGGAAUUCCGGGUGUAGCGGUGAAAUGCGUAGAUAUCCGGAGGAACACCAGUGGCGAAGGCGGCUACCUGGACCAAUACUGACGCUGAGGCACGAAAGCGUGGGGAUCAAACAGGAUUAGAUACCCGGGUAGUCGCC
rnacentral:rRNA from 1 species